UCACAGUUCUCCAUCAAAGUCAAAGUCAUCAAAAUCCUUCUCAAAACAAAACAAGUCAAAGGGAUAUCAACGUCAAAUCCUAUACAAUAGACCGGUGUUGUUGGGUAACUCCAGUAUAUAGUUUGCCACCGUUUGCCACUGAACCUGCAUUAACGACGACAGUGGGGCCUCUGGCCUUAGUCAAACGGGUUGGCACGCAUGGUCAUAAAAAUCCUCCACAACACAAAACAAGUCAAAGUUCUCCAUCAAAGUCAAAGUCAUCAAAUCCUCUUCAAAACAAAACAAGUCAAAG